GUCUAUAGCCAUACCACCCUGAACAUGCCCAAUCUCGCCUGAUCUUGGAAGCUAAGCAGGGUUGGGCCUGGCUGGUACUUGGAAGGGAGAAUACACCCAAUCAAGUGCACACUCUGGGGGCAGAGG
rnacentral:rRNA from 1 species